CACUUUUUAUUUAAAGCUUUGGUGGAUACGGAUUGGCUCGCGUGACAUUAGCUAGAUGGUAAGGUAACGGCUUACCAUAGCUAUGAUGUCUAGGGGUUCUGAGAGGAAGGUCCCCCACACUGGAACUGAGACACGGUCCAGACUCCUACGGGAGGCAGCAGUGAGGAAUAUUGGACAAUGGAUGGAAAUCUGAUCCAGCCAUGCCGCGUGAAGGAAGAAUGUCCUAUGGAUUGUAAACUUCUUUUGUAUGGGAGCAAUAAGGUCUUCGUGAAGGCCGAUGAGAGUACCAUACGAAUAAGCACCGGCUAACUCCGUGCCAGCAGCCGCGGUAAUACGGAGGGUGCAAGCGUUAUCCGGAUUUAUUGGGUUUAAAGGGUGCGUAGGCUGUUAUAUAAGUCAGCGGUGAAAGUUUUCAGCUUAACUGGAAAAAUGCCGUUGAUACUGAUAGGCUAGAAUAUGGUUGCUGUGGGUGGAAUGUGUGGUGUAGCGGUGAAAUGCUUAGAUAUCACACAGAAUAUCAAUUGCGAAGGCAGCUCACAAAGCCAUUAUUGACGCUGAGGCACGAAAGUGUGGGGAUCAAACAGGAUUAGAUACCCUGGUAGUCCACACCGUAAACGAUGAUAACUCGCUGUCGGCGAUAAACAGUCGGUAGCCAAGCGAAAGCGAUAAGUUAUCCACCUGGGGAGUACGACCGCAAGGUUGAAACUCAAAGGAAUUGACGGGGGCCCGCACAAGCGGAGGAACAUGUGGUUUAAUUCGAUGAUACGCGAGGAACCUUACCCGGGCUCGAACGGUGCAUGAAUACAUAAGAGAUUGUGUAGCUAGCAAUAGCAUGUAUCGAGGUGCUGCAUGGUUGUCGUCAGCUCGUGCCGUGAGGUGUCGGCUUAAGUGCCAUAACGAGCGCAACCCUUGUCGUUAGUUGCCAUCAGGUAAUGCUGGGAACUCUAGCGAGACUGCCACCGUAAGGUGUGAGGAAGGGGGGGAUGACGUCAAAUCAGCACGGCCCUUACGUCCGGGGCGACACACGUGUUACAAUGGUAGGUACAGAGGGCAGCUACCCAGCAAUGGGAUGCGAAUCUCGAAAGCCUAUCUCAGUUCGGAUCGGAGUCUGCAACUCGACUCCGUGAAGUUGGAUUCGCUAGUAAUCGCGCAUCAGCCAUGGCGCGGUGAAUACGUUCCCGGGC
rnacentral:rRNA from 1 species